CGAAACAUCGCUUUAAUGACAGAGGCAUUAUGUCAUGAACGUUUAUGACUUUUUUUAUCAUGUUUAUGACAUGUUCAUGACAGUGUCAUGUCACUCUUACUGUAUGUAGAUACCGUCAAGUAAAG